rnacentral:lncRNA from 1 species
GAAUGCGCACGCGCGGCAAGAGCUGCGCGCGCAUUCAGCCAGUCACAUAGGAAAGCAUUAUCAAUGCUUUCCUAUGGACGCUGGCGUGGUCUCACUGUGAAAAUCACAGUGAGAAGCACGCAAGCGCCUCUAGUGUCUGUCAAUGAGACAGCCACUAGAGGAAAUAGGGGAAGGCUUGACCCAUUCAUAAACAUAGCAGUUUCUCUGAAACUGCUAUGUUUAUGAAAAAAUGGGUUAACCCUAGCUGGACCUGGCACCCAGACCACUUCAUUAAGCUGAAGUGGUCUGGGUGCCUAGAGUGGUCCUUUAA